rnacentral:piRNA from 1 species
UGCUGCCAAGGAAAACUGCAUGAUGCAC